rnacentral:misc_RNA from 1 species
CAGAGUUCUUUCGCAACUCCCAACCCUGUGAACUUUAUCUCUUGUUGUUGCUUCUGGCAGGCGGCCCCCCCGGGUGGCCUGCCAGCAGCGACCUGCUUCAAACCUUCUUUUGUAUCCUAACCGUCUGAGUCGAAAAAAAAAAAUCAAUCA